rnacentral:rRNA from 1 species
UACGAAGGGGGCUAGCUUUGCUCGGAAUUACUGGGCGUAAAGGGCGCGUAGGCGGGUCGUCAAGUUGGGGGUGAAAGCCCGGGGCUCAACCUCGGAAUUGCCUUCAAAACUGACGACCUAGAGUAUGGCAGAGGUGUGUGGAACUCCGAGUGUAGAGGUGAAAUUCGUAGAUAUUAGGAGGAACACCUGUGGCGAAAGCGGCCAUCUGGAUCACAAUUGACGCUGAAGUGCGAAAGCGUGGGUAGCAAACAGG